AAUAAGUACAGUUUUACACUAUUCAUGUUCAACGUUUGACCGUCCAUCUUAUUUGAAAAUUUUUUAUGAUUAGUAUUUUUAUUGCUAUUAGAUAAUAAAACAUGAAUAGUACUUUAUGUGUGACUAAAUGUUUUUAAUUUUUUCACAAAUUUUUUAAAUAAGACGGACGGUCAAACGUUGAACGUGAAUAGUGCAAAACUGCACUUAUU
rnacentral:pre_miRNA from 1 species